rnacentral:rRNA from 1 species
UGGGGAAUAUUGGACAAUGGGGGCAACCCUGAUCCAGCCAUGCCGCGUGAGUGAUGAAGGCCUUAGGGUUGUAAAGUCCUUUCACCGGUGAAGAUAAUGACGGUAGCCGGAGAAGAAGCCCCGGCUAAGUCCGUGCCAGCAGCCGCGGUAAUACGGAGGGGGCUAGCGUUGUUCGGAAAUACUGGGCGUAAAGCGCGCGUAGGCGGGCUGUUAAGUCGGGGGUGAAAUCCCGGGGCUCAACCCCGGAACUGCCUUCGAUACUGGCAGCCUAGAGGACGGUAGAGGCUAGUGGAAUGGCGAGUGUAGAGGUGAAAUUCGUAGAUAUUCGCCGGAACACCAGUGGCGAAGGCGACUGGCUGGACCGUAUCUGACGCUGAGGUGCGAAAGCGUGGGGAGCAAACAGGAUUAGAUACCCCUGUAGUCC